UACGUAGGGUGCGAGCGUUGUCCGGAAUUAUUGGGCGUAAAGAGCUCGUAGGCGGUUUGUCGCGUCGACUGUGAAAACCUACAGCUUAACUGUGGGCUUGCAGUCGAUACGGGCAGGCUAGAGUUCGGUAGGGGAGACUGGAAUUCCUGGUGUAGCGGUGAAAUGCGCAGAUAUCAGGAGGAACACCGGUGGCGAAGGCGGGUCUCUGGGCCGAUACUGACGCUGAGGAGCGAAAGC
rnacentral:rRNA from 1 species